CACUUUGUUACAAUUACAAGUCAUCGAGAUGCAAAUAUCUCAUCGCAUCUAAUAACAAGAAUUCUCGUUAACAAAUAUCUCGACUUUCGUCAGCCUCACAAAACUGUUAAUUGGCGAACACCAGUUGGCUCUCGUAAGAUCUGCAGUCAAGUAACAAUGGCAAGUCUAAUUUAGACUGUCAGUAAUGGUGUAAAUCUACGAAAAAUUGGCAAAAAAGGAUAGAGCGCUUAAGUGGGAGAAAAGAGUUCGGGAGAGGAUUGUCAUUAUUCCUUGCACGUCACGGCAUGAUGGAGUUCACGUGAGCGGUCAGCGGCUGACGUUACCACACGAUUAGUGCCAGUGUUUACUUUUUUACUGCUUAGUUGCUAGUUUGUUUGUGAGGCAGAUUGCUCGGAAUGUGGACGUGGAAAAGUCUUGCACGGUCCACAAAACACGGCUACAUUACUUGGCGAAGAACCACUCAUCUAAUUCCUUGAGCAUCAACAGAAACUGAGUUCUUCAUCAGAUGGAGCAUCUAAAGGUUAAAGUUGUAGCAGCCUUGCAUUCCUUCAUUGGGAGAUCCAAACCACACUGAGAGUCUUAUGAAGUUAUGGCGGUAGACAGGCAUGUACAUUUUCACCUUCUCAAAACUAAAAUGUUUAUCAGCACCAUUUUUUGACCUUCCCAACUAAAUGAGAAAUGUCCUCAACAUGCUAGGCAUUUUUAUUGGGAAAUGUCUGCACUUUCACUUUGUCAUAGCACACGUAUGUUGUCAGCAUUGUAGAUAGGUAGGUUGAGUUAAUCAAUCUUUCUUGGUGUUUUGGUUAUCUUGCAUGGUGCAGUUAAAGUGACAGUUAUUUGAACUAACUGCGUUAUUAUUGACUACUUAUGCAGAAUUUCUUUGUAUCUAAUAUAAGAUAGCUCUGACUAGUCCUUACCAUAUUUGCCCAUGAGGACAUACAUAAGAAAUUUUAACAAGGCAAUUCCUUCAUGCUGUAGGUAUUCUGAAUAUGAUCCCUUGACAGCACCUUCAAAGUCCUUCCAACUCUAUAUAAAACAGAUUUUAGUGUAAUAAUGUCAUGUAAACCUAUGUAAUUUUUAUUAUUUCUUUUUGCCAUAUUAUGGGAUCCCUUUUUGUAAGACAAUAAAAUAAGUCAAAAUAAGUAUAAGUUAGUCAAGAAGCUGUUCAGUCCUUUAUUUUUCUUAUCAUAUUUUGCACAGUUAGGUCGGUUGCAGAGGGGUCUUUUUGGAAUGGUUUGAAAGAAUCUGUCAUUAGUCCUAAAAAACAGUGCUCAAUAAUUAAGAGAUGUUAAUGUGCAUUUUAGCAGGGUAUCAAAUCAUUUCAUACCCAAACCGCAGGUCAAUUUGUACCAGUCUCAACAUACAUUCAUUCAAAACUCCUCACAUGCAAGCAUGUGAGCAGAUGUUGAUUGCAUACGACAAUUCAGUCGAGUGAAGGGAGUUAGAGACAAACAAAAUUCAGUUGCAUACUUGUGACCUUUGAAGCAGAAACAACUAGUUUGUGUAUUUGUUUGUCUCCCUUUGGUGGUCACAUUUAAAAAAAAUGCAUGCCACAUAAACAAAAUAUGUUCUAUGAAAACUGAAAUUACUUAAAAUGUGCUUAACAGGUUAAGCAUACUCUGACUCACAGUUUGGGUACAAAAUGACUCAACUGACUGGGUACCAAUCAACCUAGCUGGGUAUGAAACAGGUUUGUACCAAAUUACCUGUUGAACCUGUAACCUAGUUGCUUUUUAAAUUGUUUUUUAAGGUGGAUUUUGUUAUUCUAUCAUACAUCUCUGUUGUAUCAUUGUAGUUAUUGUUUGGCAGAUGUAUUUUAAAAUGAAAAAAAGUUUACUGUAGGUUCUAGAGAGCAAUAGUGUCAUAGUUCUGCAUGUAUAUAGACAGAGCUUAACAAGAAGGGGGAAGAAGGAAAGUGAUAAGAAGGACAUUCAUAAGGAUGCCUCUCUUGUGAAAUUCACCCUGGCAAUCAUCAAUUGAAAGUAAACAAUUACAGUUGCACCUUUUCUUUCGGACCACCUUUUAUGGAUGACCAGAAGUCAGACAGUUCAUUAUUUGCUUCUUCAAAAUCAAGGAGCUCCUCUGUGAAGAUGAUCAAUUAAAGAGUGGUUCAUACAAAAAGUCAAUGGUAUACUUGACAAGCAACGAAAUCAAAGUUGUGCUGGAAUUUUAUCAGUGCAUGUAUUAAGUUUCUAAAGAAACUGCAAAGAGUUUCGUUGGUGACAUUUUGAUUGUUGGCCCUUUGUCAGAGCAAAUGUGUGUACUACAGUAUAUGAUUUGCAAUUUAAAUAAAAUAUGACGCACCAUA